ACCAAGGCGAUGACGGGUAGCGGACCUGAGAGGGCGACCGGCCACACUGGGACUGAGACACGGCCCAGAUUCUUACGGGAGGCAGCAGUGGGGAAUAUUGCACAAUGGGCGGAAGCCUGAUGCAGCGACGCCGCGUGAGGGAUGACGGCCUUCGGGUUGUAAACCUCUUUCGACAGGGACGAAGCGCAAGUGACGGUACCUGUAGAAGAAGCACCGGCCAACUACGUGCCAGCAGCCGCGGUAAUACGUAGGGUGCGAGCGUUGUCCGGAAUUACUGGGCGUAAAGAGCUUGUAGGCGGUUCGUCGCGUCGAUUGUGAAAACUUGCAGCUCAACUGCAAGCUUGCAGUCGAUACGGGCGGACUAGAGUACUUCAGGGGAGACUGGAAUUCCUGGUGUAGCGGUGAAAUGCGCAGAUAUCAGGAGGAACACCGGUGGCGAAGGCGGGUCUCUGGGAAGUAACUGACGCUGAGAAGCGAAAGCGUGGGUAGCGAACAGGAUUAGAUACCCUGGUAGUCCACGCCGUAAAACGGUGGGUACUAGGUGUGGG
rnacentral:rRNA from 1 species